UACGAAAGGCGUUUCUUUGGGGAUCCUUUUAGGUUGCUUUUCGUGACGCGCACUGCGCUUCACCUCCACACACCUGCCGCACAACCUCUCCGUGCCUUCUGUUCCUUUCACACAUGCUCCUGCGCCUCCUCCCUCGCGACAGCGUUCAUCAAGGGUGCAUCAGUGUGGAUCCCCUAUCCCAGCGGCCUCGUACGCAUACACAACUAACGCCCUCCCUCACCUUUGCCAACACGCACGAGAGACAGAGACGGGCUAACACAGCACUCCCGCAUCGUUCUCCCUUCCCAGCGCUGCGUGUCUCCGUCUCCGGCAUUGCACCGAAAGACGCAGACGACCUCCUCCCGGCAGGGCACAGCUUUUCUUUGUUCCUCACUUUCCUCUCCUUCGCGGGCCUUUCGCCUCUCCCCGUGACAAACUCUGCGCGUUGACGCGCUUGGAUCUUGUACUGCAUUCGAGACUGGUGCUAAGCCAACAAGAGAUUGCGGCGGCGCCACCCAGAGACCCCGCACCGCUUUCUCGGGAUGCGUCGUCGUCUCGCCUGCUGGCCCACUGCCGCGUUUGCGGUAGCCCGUGCCAUUACCACGAACUCGUUUGUUUCUUCUAUAGAGCAGGUACAGCAGCAGCUGCAAACAGCACAGGACCGACGGGUGGAGCUGCUACGGUACGGGCGGCAGCUCUACGAGGUGGAGGUGCUGGAUGACCUGAAGACCGCCUACACACCUGCUGUGGCGAGCAAAAUAUGCUACGUUGCCUCACAGCUACGCAUCGACGCGACCAAAGGCCAGCCCUACACUGCCGUGUUGGAGGCCACUAUGACCGCUGAGGGCGAACAGGCCAUGGACGUCGCGUCACUCGCCCGUAUUGUGCACAGCUGUCUUGUUCUGCGCAGCGGACACCUCCACGAGGUGCUCUUCACGUUCAUUCCGUUUCUGCGCGAGAAGGCGGGGACAAUGGACGCCGUGACGACGGCGGUGCUCAUCAACGCCUACGGUCGAUCAGGGGUGCACCACCCCGGGCUGUACAAGGCCCUGUGCGACAACGGCGCCACGGUGCUCAAGGAUCCUCGUGUGCCGCUGGCGCACAUCGCAAACGUGGCGUAUGCCGUGUCUCGUGUCAAGUUCCUCCACCCCACUCUCAUGCUGACUCUGCGUGACCACGCUCUCCGCAAGGUGGCGGAGGCGUCACCGAUCAUCAGCCUGACAGUCCUAGACGCGUUUACAGAGCUGCGUCAGAUUGACGACGAUCUCUUCAGCGCCUACGAGCAGCGCCUGCUGGGGCAGCUGAAUGAACUCCAGGCCCCGCUCAUGGCUUCUCUGGUCUCGUGCGUAGUGCGUGCGGGGCGUGGCAAGGCGGAGGUCAUGGAGAGCCUUGGCGCCAGGACAGUUGCCAUCGCCGACACCUUCGAUGCCGCAUCGAUCGCGAAGGUCACCAACGCCUACUACGAGGCGGAUGUCGCCUCCGAGGACGUGCUCGGCGCCUUGGCAGAGCGGGCCUGCAAGGUGGCCGCCGACUUUCGCGCGGACGAGAUUGCGACCGUGUUGAACGCGCUGAGCGCCUUUGACCUGUUCGACGCAGAACUCUUUCCACUGCUCGCGUCCCGCCUCGUGGCACUGCACAGACAGGGCGGGUAUGUGGACGUGGCGGACGCUGCCGUCAUUCUCAGCAGCUUCGCUGCCGUGCAAGAGCGCAAUGACGAGCUCAUAUACGUCUGCACGCAGCUUUUCGCGGCGUACCCCGGAGUGGCAAUGGAUCCUGCGGUGCGAGUGAACGCUCUGUGGGCUUGUGCGUCGCUGAACGUACACAACGAGGCCCAAACAAAGAUGCUGGAGGAGGUGCGCGCGACGCCGUCGCUCGUGAUGUGGGAAUCUAAGACAGACAUGCUUCCGAAGGCCAAGGCGAUGCUGGAGGAGCGCACUCAGUUUUUGGCCAAGGUGUACGGUAUUACCAUUUCUUCCUCGGGCGCUCGCUAGCAAGGGAGUGCGUGAGUGAGGUGGAGUGCCGAGGGGCGAAGUCGUGCUCUGCGGAGCACCCUGUGUGUUGUGGGGUGGUUGGUCGUGACGGUACUCUUUUCGACGCGCUCUUGAUUCCCCGCCCCUUGUGUUGCGGCCACACCCAGGGCCGCUGCUGCCUCUCUGUCUCGAUCGCUUCACCGCUUAAGGUAGCUUUGCGCACAUGCGCCACCUUGCCGGAGUAGUAAGAUGUUCCUCGCGCUGCCGGGAGAGUAGUCCGGUGAGCACAGAAAUUCUUGCGAUCACAGUUCCACUCUUUUCGUGUUGUUCUCCCCCUCUCUCUCGAUUAAGGUGCGAGUCAGGGACACAGUAAGAUGUGCUUGCGCGUGCGUGUGUUUGCGUGGGUGUAUGUGUGUGCACGGAUGUGAACAUGGCUACCAAAGUGCGUCUUCUGUGAGGCAUAGGAGCGGCAAGAAAAACAUGGAGUCCCGAACCAUGGUGCCGAGCCGCAAGACAGCAUGCAGGUCCUGCUACCCGCCCUCACGCAUACGUGCACAUGCUCGCCAGAGCAGUGUAACAUGUCUUCAUCGCCCACCUCGCCAUCCAGUGGCGCUUAGCCCAUCACCGGCGAUGCCACCGUAGCCGUCUUUUCGUUGGCUUUUUUUUUUGAACAAUGAUGACGAGGCGUUCGCCUUGACGCCUUUCUCCCGAAGCCGCUGCUGACCCCGGGCGAUGCUCGCACCCACUCACCCGCAGACACACACGCACAAAAGCGCUCGCGGGAAUGCAGCGGAUGCUGCGCCGAAGUGUGCUCGAACGAAUAGAGGAGUGAAAGAGCGCGUGGCACGUGGGGGAAGCGCUUGCGCAGAGGGGAAGCGCCAGGCAGCGGGUCAGCUCUGCCAGAGGUGGUAGGGAUGGGGUGGUUGACAGGAGAAGCUGUAGAAGACAGCACAGCCUACUCUUCUAUCUCCCUUUUUGUCCUGCAUUUGCAUGAAUUCUUCACACACACUCGAAAAAAAAGCGCACUGAGUGAACGGUGCCUCUUUGCGGCGCUGCGCAUGCAGGCGUGUGGGCAUGUGCUUGGACUCCCCUCCAACCUUCUCGUGUGCACCGUAGGGAGUCCUGUGUAGGUAUCGGAGAGAGGCAUCAAAGAGGGAUGGCGCUAGAGGGCUGCAACGCCGUCUUCGCACAUGCACAUAUGUGUCUCUGUGUGUGCGUGUUUUGCGCGUGCGUGUGAGUAUCAGCGCGAAACGCUUUCCUUUUCUUCUCUCUGCUGGCUGUCCUGCUUCUCUUCUGGUGUGCGCGUACGUGCGUGGCUUUCUCCAGAUUCGCCUCUGUUUUACUCGCCACUCCGGUGCUUGUUGAUGCCGUUGUGGAUGUUGCUCCUUGCAGGGCACUCCUUGACACCCUGCUCGUGUAUCGCGCGUGCCGCAGCGUAAGCGAAUGAGGCGAACGCACAAGCGCACACGCACAUAGGGAAUGCGCAUUUUUUUUUUCGUAAAUCCCCUUUGGAUUUUGCAGGGAAAGAGUGUUGGCAGCAUCACGACAUAAUGCAAUGGCGUAUGCACGCGUACACACGCACAGACACACAAGCCCAUUCGAAAUUUUGCCUCCAUUUCUGGGCACUCGCUGAGUGGCGUGCACCAUCGUUGCCAUCGACUCCUCCUGCUCCUCUAAAGUGGGGUGGCGCGCUUAGGCUGAUGGACCAGCGGCGGCACGGUUGCACGUU
rnacentral:misc_RNA from 1 species